rnacentral:rRNA from 1 species
AAUGAACGUUGGCGGCAUGGAUUAGGCAUGCAAGUCGAGCGCGAUAGGUUUGGUGCUUGCAUUAAACCUUGAAAGCGGCGAAAGGGAGAGUAACGCGUAGGAUAUCUGCCCCCGGGACUGGGAUAGCGGUGGGAAACUGCCGGUAAUACCAGAUAAUGUCUCCGGACCAAAGGUGUGAUUCCGCCUGGGGAUGAUCCUGCGUCCUAUUAGCUAGUUGGUAGGGUAAUGGCCUACCAAGGCUUUUGAUGGGUAGCGGGCGUGAGAGCGUGGCCCGUCUCACUGGGACUGAGACACGGCCCAGACUCCUACGGGAGGCAGCAGUGGGGAAUAUUGGACAAUGGGCGCAAGCCUGAUCCAGCAAUGCCGCGUGUGUGAAG